UUUCGUCUAACCGAUUCAAAAGGCGCCC
rnacentral:sRNA from 1 species